AUCGCAAUAACCACUUCUGAAAUGUAAAUUUAUACCAGGCUAAAUUGUGCAAUAUCCCAGAAAACAGUCAUCCUCAUAGUCGACCCUGUGAGAACCUGAAAUAACAGCUACAUAAACUUCAUCUAUGAUACUGCAAAGGAUCAUCUCAACUUUUAAAAAUUAAUGCAUGAGAAAUGGUUAAAAUAAGUAUUUAUGUACUCUUAAACAUCGCGAAUUUCUCAGCAGAUCCUUAAAAAAAGUGUUCACAAGCAUUUUGGACAGCUGAGUUGGUCAUGUUCAUGAAUGCUCAAAACAGAGAGAUGCUUAAUUUUGGGAAAAUGGCUCUGUGCGACCAGUUACUUCAAUCUCCCGACCUUCGACAAGUCCCAGUGGAAGACGAGCCACAAGGGGCAAUUCCUGUUGAUAUGAAACCAUUGUAUUUUUUGCAUAUAGGAUAGAUAAUUGAAUACACAAUUAAAGUAUGCAUUCUUAUUUGCAUAAAAACGUGUA